rnacentral:lncRNA from 1 species
UACUCUUCUUAUUUCUUAUAACAAAGAAAUAAACUAACAUGCAUAAAUACGGGCGUAAAUGCUCCAUAUGACUCUUGAAAUGUUCGGACACGUGAUUUGUAAUUAUUAUAAAUCAUAUUAUAUAACAGCCUAAUAUGAUUUUAUUUGUUAUUUUUUUUACUUACAAAAUUUAAAUUUUUAAUAUUAAUUAAUUAACAAAAUUUUGUGCCUUAUAGAUGCACUUGUCAAAUGUCAAGUGGAGCCUGUCACAAUCGCUUGUACGAGUGGUUAUGCCUCCUGUAGACAAUAUGAACGAAAAGACUAGACUUUGAUAGUUAUAGAUAGCUUACUACUAUAAGCUAAAAAGAAAAGUUGCAAGAAAUUUUUUAAGUCAAUUUUACUUGUAUUCAUAGAAAAAGAAACUUCAUUGGAUAAUCACUGUAGUAUGGCAGCACUAGCAGCCUUUGGAACUUGGAAGCGUACCGUAAUGAAGUGUAGCCAGAGCUUUAUGUGUAUGUCGCCGUAUACUUAUAUAUUGUCAUGACUCAUGAGAUAAUUACAUGCAAUGGAGUAGGUGUAGAUCGGUUUGGAUUGGUUUAAAUUAGAGAUGGUCAAGGGUCAUGUUGGUAAAGGAAGGCCUAUGAGGAUAUGUGGGUUGGCACGGCAUGAUCAAUCAUGUGAUUCGUGUCAUGCUAUGUCCAAAUUUUUUGUUUAGACAUAGUAGGCUCGUAUGAAAAAAAGUAAAAUAUAUAUAUAUAUUUUUUAUGGAGACAUCAAACUGUUAGUGCCUUUUUUUUUAAUCCAUGUAUUUUUUUUAAGUCAACAUAUCUUUAGUCAAAUUCAGUAUAAUUAUUUUAAAAUUAAAGUCUAUAUUCAAUAAUAAUAACUAAUAAUAGUAAGAGAAUAUAAUACUAAUUAUUAAUUUAGAUAUUACAGUAUUAGAAUUCUUUUUUAUAAUAAACAACAACAAAAAUAAUAAUAAAUUUUUAAAGGGUUAACUUAAUUGUUAACUUGAACCUCCAUAGGAUCAUCAAUCAUAGAUCAUAGUCCAAAAUAAUAUUAAUGCAUACAUAUAUAAAAUCAUGGUAUAUAUAAUUUUAUUUAUUAAAAUCAUGAUAUCAUCAAUAGAUUAUAAACAUAAAACAAUUAGAGUAUUUUUUAUGAAAUAGAGAAUUAAAUAAAUUUGAAAAACUUAUGCUAAUAAAAUACAUUAAAAGAUUCAAUUUGAAGUUAUUUGUAAAAUUAUAAAAUUUUAAAUUUAUUUUCAUAAAUAACGUUUUACUUUAAUAUACUUUGACCAGCAUGUUAUUGAUGCCUUGUGAACCAUGUGUUAGCCUACUAGUAAAACGUGCUUUAGCAUAUUUCUACUAAUACAGUCCUUUUAAGGUUCAUGUACCUAAAAUUCUUACCCUAAUUCAGUCGUGUGUCUACCUGCCAUGCCAUGUGUCCUAUCAAAAUAUACUCGUGUCUUAUGUUGCUAUUUGGAUGUGUGUCAUGCUCAUGCUAUGCCACGUGUAGCUAGCCUAUUAGACAUCUCUGAUGUCUAGAGUAAAAUUGAAUUCAAAAUAGUUCAAUUGAGUUGGGAUAUUUGAAACUACAAUCUGACUAAAACUUCAAAUAGAGCUGAGGCGAAUUAGAAAUUCCAACUUGAUUUGGCUCAAUUAAAGCUUACUUGAUAUUGAGGUUAGACAACUAUAAUUUAGAGUAUACUUGGUAAAUAUUAGCUACUAUAACUUGAAAACUAAGCUAAUUUGAUCUACAACUUGUAUGAUUAAAAAUCUAUAAUAUCUUUACUAUUUUUAAAAAAUUAUUAUUUAAAAAUACAUUUACUACACAUUAUUAAUUUUUACUUCAUAAUCAAAUUUUUUUAACAAGAAUAAUUUUAAAAAAAUCACCUUAAUACCAAGCAAGACCGAAGUCAGAUUGUGAAUUUUCUAUUUCUCAUUUAAUCAAUGUUCAAUCUCGCAAUUCUGAAAGAACAUAUAUCCAACAUAUAAGCACCGAGACAAGGGAACAAAUUCAUUAAUUUAUGCAUAUAGACGAAAACGACUUGCAUUUGAAGACGAUCCAUCCAGCAUAUAAACAUCAUGUUUAAAAUAAGGAAAAUUCUACCGUUCCAUGACUAAAAUUAUGGCAUUAAUACUGAGAUAAAUAUAAAUU